UAUCUCUGUAGAGUCUGCAUAUCAAUAAGCGGAGGAAAAGAAACUAACUAGGAUUCCCUCAGUAACGGCGAGUGAAGCGGGAAGAGCUCAAAUUUGAAAUCUUCAAGGUUCUACCUUGACGAAUUGUAGUUUAAAGAAGUGUUUUCUGUUGGAGUUUUGGUAAAAGUUCUUUGGAAUAGGACAUCAUAGAGGGUGAGAAUCCCGUAUUUGACCAUUAUUUCCAGCUUUGUGAUACACUUUCAAAGAGUCGGAUUGUUUGGGAAUGCAGUCCAAAAUGGGUGGUAAAUUUCAUCUAAAGCUAAAUAUUGGCGAGAGACCGAUAGCGAACAAGUACCGUGAGGGAAAGAUGAAAAGAACUUUGAAAAGAGAGUUAAACAGUACGUGAAAUUGUCAAAAGGGAAGCGUUUGACACCAGUGUUGUUUUCCUCGAAAAUCAAUUAAAAAAAGUUGGAUUUUGUAUUGUUAAGACCUUAUCAGCUUACUGUACUCUUUUCUUGCUUUUUUUAAUGCACUUUUCGUUUAACAAGUCAACAUCAAUUUCUUUUGUUGUAAAAGAGUCAUUGGAAGGUGGCUUUCUUUUCGGAGAAAGUGUUUAUAGCCUUUGGCCUCUGCAAUCGGAGAGAUUGAGGUCUGCAGCGUAGAUCCUUCGGGGUUAGAUACAUUUGUGCUAAGUUAUAGCCUUUCAUAGACAACUUGUUGACUAUGAUCAGUCAUGUAGCUUACUCGCUUAUGCUAUUUUACCUACGCUUAGGAUGUUGACGAUCAGCUGAGCGCG
rnacentral:rRNA from 1 species